UACGGGGGGGGGCAAGCGUUGUUCGGAAUUACUGGGCGUAAAGGGCUCGUAGGCGGCCAACUAAGUCAGACGUGAAAUCCCUCGGCUUAACCGGGGAACUGCGUCUGAUACUGGAUGGCUAGAGGUUGGGAGAGGGAUGCGGAAUUCCAGGUGUAGCGGUGAAAUGCGUAGAUAUCUGGAGGAACACCGGUGGCGAAGGCGGCAUCCUGGACCAAUUCGUGACGCUGAGGAGCGAAAGCCAGGGGAGCAAACGGGG
rnacentral:rRNA from 1 species